CAAGUAUAUGACAAAAUCUGCCAGGAAUGACAUACUGACGAUCCACGCAAUUGGGUGGAACAGACGGAAGCAGGAUGGCCUUCAUCUUGCCUUGUCCAGCAGAUAUAUCAAGACUUUCCAAAAGGCUCAGGCUGAGUCUCAGAGACUAGAGGAUUUGAGCAGUGAAGUUGGGUGUCCUGAGAACAUGAUGCAGCAGUGGGUACAUGAUGUCAAACAGUGGGCUACCGAUGAUUCUGCUGGUUCCCGAUGUGAUGACCUUCAGCAAUCAAUCGAACAAAUGUUUCUUGGUGUACAUCAAAAAAAAGCCAGGCUUUAUACUCAGACUGGUAUGUUGAUGCAUCUAGUGUUUUUCUU